rnacentral:tRNA from 1 species
GGAGAGGUGGUCGAGUGGUUGAAGGCUCCGGUCUUGAAAACCGGCGUGGUUGAGAAAUAUCACCGAGGGUUCGAAUCCCUCCCUCUCC